GACGAACGCUGGCGGCGUGGAUUAGGCAUGCAAGUCGAACGGUAGGAUACCUUUCGGGUAUCUGAGAGUGGCGAACGGGUGAGUAACACGUAGGUGAUCUACCCUCAAGAUUGGGACAACCCAGGGAAACUUGGGCUAAUACCGGAUGAAAGCAGCAGUGAUGUUGUUUGAAAGGUGGCGUAAGCUGCCGUUUGGGGAUGAGCCUGCGCUCUAUUAGUUAGUUGGCGGGGUAAAGGCCCACCAAGGCGAUGAUAGAUAGGCGGCCUUAACGGGUGGUCGCCCACACUGGGAUUGAGAUACGGCCCAGACUCCUACGGGAGGCAGCAGUCGAGAAUAGUCUACAAUGGUCGGAAGACUGAUAGUGCGACGCCGCGUGAACGAUGAAUCCCUUCGGGUGUAAAGUUCUUUUAUAUGUGAGCAGUGCUUCUUAUAUUAACAGUAUGGGGAAGAGAUAUUAGCAUAUGAAUAAGCAACGGCUAACUCCGUGCCAGCAC
rnacentral:rRNA from 1 species